AUACGGAGGAUCCGAGCGUUAUCCGGAUUUAUUGGGUUUAAAGGGAGCGUAGGCGGACGCUUAAGUCAGUUGUGAAAGUUUGCGGCUCAACCGUAAAAUUGCAGUUGAUACUGGGUGUCUUGAGUACAGUAGGGGCAGGCGGAAUUCGUGGUGUAGCGGUGAAAUGCUUAGUUAUCACGAAGAACUCCGAUUGCGAAGGCAGCUUGCUGGACUGUAACUGACGCUGAUGCUCGAAAGUGUGGGUAUCAAACAGGAUUAGAUACCCUGGUAGUACACACAGUAAACGAUGAAUACUCGCUGUUUGCGAUAUACAGUAAGCGGCCAAGCGAAAGCGUUAAGUAUUCCACCUGGGGAGUACGCCGGCAACGGUGAAACUUAAAGGAAUUGACGGGG
rnacentral:rRNA from 1 species